GGGCGAAAGACUAAUCGAACCAUCUAGUAGCUGGUUCCCUCCGAAGUUUCCCUCAGGAUAGCUGGCGCUCGAAAUCAGUCUCAUCCGGUAAAGCGAAUGAUUAGAGGCCUUGGGGCCGAAACGACCUCAACCUAUUCUCAAACUUUAAAUGGGUGAGAAGUCCGCCUUGCUCGACUCGAAGGCCGGACGACUCGGAUGAGAGUGCCCAGUGGGCCACUUUUGGUAAGCAGAACUGGCGCUGUGGG
rnacentral:rRNA from 1 species